GAUGAAGAACGUAGCGAAAUGCGAUAAGUAAUUUGAAUUGCAGAAUUCAGUGAAUCAUCGAAUCUUUGAACGCACAUUGCGCCCGCCAGUAUUCUGGCGGGCAUGCCUGUUCGAGCGUCAUUUCAACCAUCAAGCCCCCGGGCUUGUGUUGGGGACCUGCGGCUGCCGCAGGCCCUGAAAAGCAGUGGCGGGCUCGCUGUCACACCGAGCGUAGUAGAUUUUAUCUCGCUCAGGGCGUGCUGCGGGUUCCGGCCGUUAAACCACCUUCAUAACCCAAGGUUGACCUCGGAUCAGGUAGGAAGACCCGCUGAACUUAAGCAUAUCAAUAAGCGGAGGA
rnacentral:misc_RNA from 1 species